rnacentral:lncRNA from 1 species
AAAGCAAAUGUCUGGGACAGCCCUACUGAACAGUGCCCUCUAGUGAGCCUUUGGGUCCCCACCUGGCAUCUGUGGAGGGAAUGACUGGAUGACCACAGAGAGAAGAUAGAGCCCAUGCUCCUCCUCAGAGGACUGCCAAGCUCCUACUGUGUGCAGGUAUUGUCAGCCACGGCAAGGAUGGGUAGCAGUGUGAUCCUCUGGCAUGCUCAAGAAUACUAGGAUGAGAAGAGGAAUAAUUCCAGGUCCCUGGAUAUCAAAUUUUCUAGAUUCAGUAACUUGCAUUGGUGGAGUCACUGGAGUAUUAGAAACAUGGUGAGAGCUACAUUGCUUUAGUGGGAGCUCUCACAUUCGACAACAGUUGAAGAUGGGUUUCAAGAAUGCGGGGGGAGGAGGGGCUCCUUGUGUUUUUUAUACUCCUGCACUGUAUUUGAAAACUCCCUGUGUGGGGAGGGAAGGAGGCUCAGUGGAUAAAAGUGUUGGCUGUGCAUGCCUGAUGACCUGAGUUCAAUAUUCAGAACUCACAUUAAAAAUUGGGGGCAUCAGCCAAGCGGGAGGUGGUGGCGGUGCACGCCUUUGAUCCCAGAACUUGGAAGGCAGAGGCAGGCGGAUCUCUGUGAGGUCGAGGCCAGCCUGGUUUACAGAGCUAGUUCCAGGAUAGCCAGGGCUACACAGAGAAACCCUGCUCCCCCAAACAAACAAACCAACAAACAUAUCAGGAAACCCUGCUCCCCCAAACAAAUAAACAAACCAACA